rfam:Enterococcus faecalis V583, complete genome.
GAGAAACAUUUGGGGUGCUAUUAGCUGAGAUUAUACCCAUGGAACCUGAAACAGUUAGGACUGGCGCAGGGAAAUGUCUUGAAAUUUUG